rnacentral:lncRNA from 1 species
GUGCUUUGCAGUCUUCUCGAUAUCUCAGUUUACUUUUUCUCUUGAAGAUUUGCACCAGUAACAGAUUUUACUUGCAAUUUUUUAAUGUAUUAUGAACUCUAAAGCCUUUGGCUGUACUAUUCUCUGUACUGAAAAGGCAAAACCUUUUUCCUUAUUUCUGGCCUACUAAGUCUUACUCACAAAUAAGCUUUUGGUAUACUAGUUUCUUUAAGAAAAGACAUUUCCCCUGAUGAUGCCAGCUAACACAUUUGGUAUGUACAAAAUAAACCACAAAAGCUUCAAUCAUAGUCCUUGUCAGUUUGCACAGAGCUGUUUACCUAUUAGUAGAACUUCCACACUGUUCUCUUAGAUCCUAAUGGAAUGUCUUUCCUUCACAGCUAUCAGGAACAACCACAGUAUAAUACCUUACACAUGGCAGAUGGUCAAUAAACAUUUUCAGAAUUAAAAGAAAGAAAGAAAAAAAAAAGUCCUGUGCUGGGGAUGUAGGUCAGUGGUAGAGCAUUUGUCUAGCAUGCUCAAGGCCUUGGGUUCAAUCCCCCCACCACUUUUACUUCAGUAAAACAAAACCAAAAAAAAAAAAAAAACUCAC